UACGUAGGGGGCAAGCGUUGUCCGGAUUUACUGGGCGUAAAGCGCGUGUAGGCGGCAGCGAAAGUCCGGUGUGAAAGCCCCCCGCUCAACGGGGGAAGGUCGCUGGAAACUGCGCUUCUUGAGGGCGGCAGAGGGAAGUGGAAUUGCUGGUGUAGCGGUGAAAUGCGUAGAGAUCAGCAGGAACACCCGUGGCGAAGGCGGCUUCCUGGGCCGCGCCUGACGCUGAGACGCGAAAGCGUGGGGAGCGAACGGG
rnacentral:rRNA from 1 species